GAUCCUGGCUCAGAUUGAACGCUGGCGGCAUGCUUUACACAUGCAAGUCGAACGGUAACAGGCCUUCGGGCGCUGACGAGUGGCGAACGGGUGAGUAAUGCAUCGGAACGUGCCCAGUCGUGGGGGAUAACGCAGCGAAAGCUGUGCUAAUACCGCAUACGAUCUGCGGAUGAAAGCGGGGGACCUUCGGGCCUCGCGCGAUUGGAGCGGCCGAUGUCAGAUUAGGUAGUUGGUGGGGUAAAGGCCUACCAAGCCGACGAUCUGUAGCUGGUCUGAGAGGACGACCAGCCACACUGGGACUGAGACACGGCCCAGACUCCUACGGGAGGCAGCAGUGGGGAAUUUUGGACAAUGGGCGCAAGCCUGAUCCAGCAAUGCCGCGUGCAGGAAGAAGGCCUUCGGGUUGUAAACUGCUUUUGUACGGAACGAAAAGGCUCUGGUUAAUACCUGGGGCUCAUGACGGUACCGUAAGAAUAAGCACCGGCUAACUACGUG
rnacentral:rRNA from 1 species